AUGGGGCUGGUGGCCAUGGUGGGAAUAGUGAUGGCCAUGGGGUUGGUGUCUGUGGAGUUGGUGUCCAUGGAUGGGUUGAUGUUCAUGGUGGGGCUGGUGUCCAUGGGGCUGGUGUUCUUGGUGGGGCUGGUGGCCAUGGGGUUGGUGGCCAUAGUGGGGCUGGUGUCCAUGGGGCUGGUGUUCUUGGUGGGGUUGGUGGCCAUGGGGUUGGUGGCCAUAGUGGGGAUGGUGUCUAUGAUGGGGGUGGUGUUUGUGGGACUGGUGUCUAUGGUGGGGUUGGUGUCCAUGGGGCUGAUGCCCAUUGGCGCUGGUGUCCAUGGAGGGCUUGGUGUCCAUGGGGUUGAUGUCCAUGGGGAUAAUGUCUGUGGUGGGGCUGGUGUUCAUGGGGUUGGUAUCCAGGGUGUCCAUGGGGCUGGUGUCCAUGGUGGGGAUGAUGUCCGUGGGGUUGGUGUCCAUUGUGGGGUUGGUGGCCAUGGGGGUAAUGUCCAUGGUGGGGCUGGUGUCCAUGGGGCUGGUGUCCAUGCUGUCCAUGGGGCUGGUGUCCAUGGUGGGAAUAGUGAUGGCCAUGGGGUUGGUGUCCACGGAGGGGUUGGUGUCCAUGGUGGAGCUGGUGGCCAUGGGGUUGGUGUCCAUGGAGGGGUUGGUGCUUGUGGGGUUGGUGUCCAUUGUGGAGUUGGUGGCCAUGGUGGGGUUGGUGGCCAUGGGGCUGGUGGCCAUGGGGAUAGUGUUCAUGGUGGGGCUGGUGUUCGUGGGGCUGGUGUCCGUGGUGGGGUUGUUGUCUAUGGGGCUGGUGUCCAUGGGGUUGGUGUCCAUGGUGGGGUUGGUGGCCAUGGAGCUGGUGUUCACGGUGGGGAUGGUGUCUGUAGAGUUGGUGUCCAUGGGGCUGGUGUCCAUUGUGGGGUUGGUGUCCAUGGAUGGGUUGGUGAUCAUGGUGGGGUUGGUGGCUGUGGGGUUGGUGUCCAUGGGGUUGGUGCCUGUGGUUGGGCUGGUGGCCAUGGGGCUGGUGUCCCAGGUGGGGUUGGUGUCCAUGGUGGGGCUGGUGGCCAUGGUGGGGAUGGUGUCUAUGGUGGGGGUGGUGUCCAUGGGGUUGGUGUCUGUGGUGGGGCUGGUGGCCAUGGGGCUGGUGGCCAUGGGGCUGGGGGCCAAGGUGGGGAUGGCCAUGGGGAUAGUGAUGGCCAUGGGGCUGGUGGCCAUGGGGCUGCUGUCCAUGGUGGGGUUGGUAUCCAUGGAGGGGCUGGUGUCCAUGGGGUUGGUGUCCAUGGGGCUGGUGUCCAUGGUGGGGCUGGUGUCUAUAGUGGAGUUGGUAUCCAUAGUGGGGUUGGUGUCAAUGGUGGGGCUGGUGGCCAUGGAGCUGGUGUCCACGGUGGGGAUGGUGUCCAUAGAGUUGGUGUCCAUGGGGCUGGUGUCCAUUGUGGGGUUGGUGGCCAUGGGGGUAAUGUCCAUGGUGGGGCUGGUGUCUGUGGUGGGAAUAGUGAUGGCCACGGGGUUGGUGUUCAUGGAGGGGUUGUUGUCUAUGGUGGAGUUGGUGGCCAUGGUGGGGCUGUUGUCCAUGGGGCUGGUGUCCAUGGGGAUAAUGUCCGUGGUGGGGCUGGUGUCCACGGGGUUGGUGUCCAUGGGGCUGGUGUCCAUGGUGGGGAUGAUGUCUGUGGUGGGGAUGGUGUUUGUGAGCUGGUGUGGGGCUCGAUCCUAUGGGUCUGUCUGUGGGUCUGUCUGUGGGUCUGUCCGUGGGGCUGA
rnacentral:lncRNA from 1 species